CGAACGCUGGCGGCAUGCCUCACACAUGCAAGUCGACCGAGACCUUCGGGUCUAGUGGCGCACGGGUGCGUAACGCGUGGGAACCUGCCCUUAGGUUCGGAAUAACUCCCCGACAGGGGUGCUAAUACCGGAUAAUGUCUUCGGACCAAAGAUUUAUCGCCUUUGGAUGGGCCCGCGUUGGAUUAGCUAGUUGGUAGGGUAAAAGCCUACCAAGGCGACGAUCCAUAGCUGGUCUGAGAGGAUGAUCAGCCACACUGGGACUGAGACACGGCCCAGACUCCUACGGGAAGCAGCAGUGGGGAAUAUUGGACAAUGGGCGAAAGCCUGAUCCAGCAAUGCCGCGUGAGUGAUGAAGGCCUUAGGGUUGUAAAGCUCUUUUACCCGGGAUGAUAAUGACAGUACCAGGAGAAUAAGCUCCGGCUAACUCCGUG
rnacentral:rRNA from 1 species